rnacentral:rRNA from 1 species
UACGUACUGUGCGAACGUUAUUCGGAAUUACUGGGCUUACAGGGUGUGUAGGCGGCUGAAUAAGUAGGGUGUGAAAGGCCCCGGCCUAACCGAGGCAUUGCGCUCUAAACUGUUCGGCUUGAGUGAGAUAGGGGUGUGCGGAACUUCCAGUGGAGCGAUGAAAUGUGUUGAUAUUGGAAGGAACGCCGGUGGCGAAAGCGGCACACUGGGUCUCAACUGACGCUGAGACACGAAAGCCAGGGGAGCGAACGGG